UACGUAGGCAGCAAGCGUUGUUCGGAAUUACUGGGCGUAAAGAGUGUGUAGGCGGUGCUCUAAGUUCGGUGUGAAAUCUCCCGGCUCAACUGGGAGGGUGCGCCGGAAACUGGGGUGCUGGAGCGCGGGAGAGGAAAGCGGAAUUCCUGGUGUAGCGGUGAAAUGCGUAGAGAUCGGGAGGAACACCAGUGGCGAAGGCGACUUCUUGGCCUGUUCUUGACGCUGAGGCGCGAAAGCUAGGGGAGCAAACGGG
rnacentral:rRNA from 1 species